rnacentral:rRNA from 1 species
AAACUUGAGAGUUUGAUCAUGGCUCAGAACGUACGCUGGCGGCACGCCUAACACAUGCAAGUCGAACGAAGUAGCAAUACUUAGUGGCAGACGGGUGAGUAACAUGUGGGUAUCUGCCCUUUGGCCUGGAAUAACACGAGGAAACUUGUGCUAAUACCGGAUAAGUCUUUACGGAGAAAGCUUUAUGCACCAUUGGAUGAGCCUGCACUUGAUUAGUUUGUUGGUGGGGUAAUGGCCUACCAAGACUGUGAUCAAUAGCUGAUUUGAGAGGAUGAUCAGCCACAUUGGGACUGAGACACGGCCCAAACUCCUACGGGAGGCAGCAGUGGGGAAUCUUGCACAAUGGAGGAAACUCUGAUGCAGCGAUGCCGCGUGAGUGAAGAAGGCCUUUGGGUUGUAAAGCUCUUUCGUCGGGGAAGAAAAUGACUGUACCCGAAUAAGAAGGUCCGGCUAACUUCGUGCCAGCAGCCGCGGUAAUACGAAGGGACCUAGCGUAGUUCGGAAUUACUGGGCUUAAAGAGUUCGUAGGUGGUUGAAAAAGUUAGUGGUGAAAUCCCAGAGCUUAACUCUGGAACUGCCAUUAAAACUUUUCAGCUAGAGUAUGAUAGAGGAAAGCAGAAUUUCUAGUGUAGAGGUGAAAUUCGUAGAUAUUAGAAAGAAUACCAAUUGCGAAGGCAGCUUUCUGGAUCAUUACUGACACUGAGGAACGAAAGCAUGGGUAGCGAAGAGGAUUAGAUACCCUCGUAGUCCAUGCCGUAAACGAUGUGUGUUAGACGUUGGAAAUUUAUUUUCAGUGUCGCAGGGAAACCGAUAAACACACCGCCUGGGGAGUACGACCGCAAGGUUAAAACUCAAAUGAAUUGACGGGGACCCGCACAAGUAGUGGAGCAUGUGGUUUAAUUCGAAGAUACGCGCAGAACCUUACCAACACUUGACAUGUUCGUCGCGACUCUAAGAGAUUAGAGUUUUCGGUUCGGCCGGACGAAACACAGGUGCUGCAUGGCUGUCGUCAGCUCGUGUCGUGAGAUGUUGGGUUAAGUCCCGCAACGAGCGCAACCCUCACUUUUAGUUGCCAUCAUUAAGUUGGGCACUCUGAAAGAACUGCCAGUGAUAAGCUGGAGGAAGGUGGGGAUGACGUCAAGUCCUCAUGGCCCUUACGUGUUGGGCUACACACGUGCUACAAUGGUAUCUACAACAGGAAGCAAGACUGCGAAGUUAAGCAAAUCCCUAAAAGAUACCUCAGUUCGGAUUGCACUCUGCAACUCGAGUGCAUGAAGCUGGAAUUACUAGUAAUCGUGGAUCAGCGUGCCACGGUGAAUGCGUUCCCGGGUCUUGUACACACCGCCCGUCACACCAUGGGAGUUGGUUCUACCUUAAGGCAAGGUUUCAAACCCUUGACCACGGUAUAGUCAGCGACUGGGGUGAAGUCGUAACAAGGUAGCCGUAGGGGAACCUGCGGCUGGAUUACCUCCUUU